rnacentral:rRNA from 1 species
UGAGCUCAGGCAAGACUACCCGCUGAACUUAAGCAUAUCAAUAAGCGGAGGAAGUCC